UAAGCUGCGGGGAAUUGUCAACAAGCUUUGAUCCGUGGAUCUCCGAAUGGGGAAACCCGGCCACUUUUGUGGUCAUUGCAUGCUGAAUACAUAGGUAUGCAAGACGAACCUGGUGAACUGAAAUAUCUAAGUAGCUAGAGGAAAGGAAAUCAAAAUGAGACUCCGCUAGUAGUGACGAGCGAACGCGGAAUAGGUCAGUGGUCUACAGUUAGAAACUGGAAUGCUUUGGAAAGAGCAACCAUAGGGGGUGAUAGUCCUGUACAGGUAAGAAUGCUGUAGAUCCUUGAGUAGAGCGGGGCACGUGAAACCCUGUUUGAACAUGGGGGGACCAUCCUCCAAACCUAAGUACUCCUUAGCGACCGAUAGUGAACAAGUACCGUGAGGGAAAGGUGAAAAGAACCCCGGUUAGGGGAGUGAAAUAGAACCUGAAAUCGAGUGCUUACAAACAGUUGGAGCCGUGUGUCCCGCGGCGCAAGCCGCGGGACAUUAGGUGACAGCGUACCUUUUGCAUAAUGGGUCAGCGAGUUAAUCUGUUGAGCAAGCUUAAGCCGUUAGGUGUAGGCGGAGCGAAAGCGAGUCUUAAUAGGGCGUUGAGUUUAACGGAUUAGACCCGAAACCAAGUGAUCUAGCCAUGGCCAGGUUGAAGGUGUAGUAAGAUACAUUGGAGGACCGAACCUGUUAMA
rnacentral:rRNA from 1 species